rnacentral:lncRNA from 1 species
AAAUAAAUAAAUAAAAUGAAACAAGUUAAAAAUAAAACGGGCAGAAUGUACACACUAGGGGUUGAACUCCUGACCUUGGGGUCAUGGGGGGAUCAACCCCCUCAUCCACUGGACCAUAAGCCCGGUUGUGUUAACAAACACGCGUUAACAGAAUAAAUAAUAAAAAUGAAAAACAAAAGAGAUUUGCGCGCCAGACAACCAAUCAGAGUGUGACAACCCUUUUGUUUGAAUUCAAAACACGCGCCAACGAUCAUCUUCAACCUUCGACUACUCAAA